rnacentral:rRNA from 1 species
GAUUCGUCACACUAUCAUUAACUGAAUCCAUAGGUUAAUGAGGCGAACCGGGGGAACUGAAACAUCUAAGUACCCCGAGGAAAAGAAAUCAACCGAGAUUCCCCCAGUAGCGGCGAGCGAACGGGGAGGAGCCCAGAGCCUGAAUCAGCAUGUGUGUUAGUGGAAGCGUCUGGAAAGGCGCGCGAUACAGGGUGACAGCCCCGUACACAAAAGCGCAUGUGCUGUGAGCUCGAUGAGUAGGGCGGGACACGUGGUAUCCUGUCUGAAUAUGGGGGGACCAUCCUCCAAGGCUAAAUACUCCUGACUGACCGAUAGUGAACCAGUACCGUGAGGGAAAGGCGAAAAGAACCCCGGCGAGGGGAGUGAAAAAGAACCUGAAACCGUGUACGUACAAGCAGUGGGAGCCCCACCACUAAGCCAGUGGUGAACUCCACAUCCGCAUCCUUUGCUGAGGAUACGGUUAACGGAGCGAAAGCGACGUUCAACCGCAAAACAAGCAGAGGGGGCUUAGUGGUGGGGUGACUGCGUACCUUUUGUAUAAUGGGUCAGCGACUUAUAUUCUGUAGCAAGGUUAACCGUAUAGGGGAGCCGGAGGGAAACCGAGUCUUAAUUGGGCGUUAAGUUGCAGGGUAUAGACCCGAAACCCGGUGAUCUAGCCAUGGGCAGGUUGAAGGUUGGGUAACACUAACUGGAGGACCGAACCGACUAAUGUUGAAAAAUUAGCGGAUGACCUGUGGCUGGGGGUGAAAGGCCAAUCAAACCGGGAGAUAGCUGGUUCUCCCCGAAAGCUAUUUAGGUAGCGCCUCGUGAAUUCAUCUCCGGGGGUAGAGCACUGUUUCGGCUAGGGGGCCAUCCCGGCUUACCAACCCGAUGCAAACUGCGAAUACCGGAGAAUGUUAUCACGGGAGACACACGGCGGGUGCUAACGUCCGUCGUGAAGAGGGAAACAACCCAGACCGCCAGCUAAGGUCCCAAAGUCAUGGUUAAGUGGGAAACGAUGUGGGAAGGCCCAGACAGCCAGGAUGUUGGCUUAGAAGCAGCCAUCAUUUAAAGAAAGCGUAAUAGCUCACUGGUCGAGUCGGCCUGCGCGGAAGAUGUAACGGGGCUAAACCAUGCACCGAAGCUGCGGCAGCGAACGUAUCACCCAAGACAACUUUACGGAGUUGACGAUUGACGGAGCGAAGCGACGUCAAAGCGUUCAUUAAAGUCGAGUUGGCUUAGGGAUACGUUCGUUGGGUAGGGGAGCGUUCUGUAAGCCUGUGAAGGUGUGUCGUGAGGCAUGCUGGAGGUAUCAGAAGUGCGAAUGCUGACAUAAGUAACGAUAAAGCGGGUGAAAAGCCCGCUCGCCGGAAGACCAAGGGUUCCUGUCCAACGUUAAUCGGGGCAGGGUGAGUCGACCCCUAAGGCGAGGCCGAAAGGCGUAGUCGAUGGGAAACGGGUUAAUAUUCCCGUACUUGGUGUUACUGCGAAGGGGGGACGGAGAAGGCUAUGUUGGCCGGGCGACGGUUGUCCCGGUUUAAGCGUGUAGGUGUGUGUUCCAGGUAAAUCCGGUUCACUUUAACACUGAGGCGUGACGACGAGGCACUACGGUGCUGAAGCAACAAAUGCCCUG